GACAGAGGCCUCAAGCGUUAAUCGGAAUUACUGGGCGUAAAGCGAGCGUAGUCGGUUAUUUAAGUCGGAUGUGAAAUCCCCGGGCUCAACCUGGGAAUUGCAUUCGAUACUGGAUAGCUAGAGUUCGGCAGAGGGAAGCGGAAUUUCUGGUGUAGCGGUGAAAUGCGUAGAUAUCAGAAGGAACAUCAGUGGCGAAAGCGGCUUCCUGGACCAGAACUGACGAUCAGGCUCGAAAGCGUGGGGAGCAAACAGG
rnacentral:rRNA from 1 species